CCUCCCGGCGCGGCUGCUUCCGGUGGGGAUUGCGGAGCGAGCGCUGGGCCUCGCGGGAGUGCGGACCGCGCGGCUUGGCGUUGGUCUACCCGAGCAAAAGGCUGCCCUGUCGCGCUGUGUUCCCUUUUGCCACAUUCGUUCCCAGCAUAACCGGCACGCUCAGUCUGCGUUCUCUCCGUUCCUCUGUUGUGUUCGGCGCUCGGAGCACAAUGCCGGUGCCGGCCCUCUGCCACUCAGCGGCCGAAGUGGGAAAGGAGAGGAGCCGUGCCCGCAAGGCGCUGCGCAGGAGGGGGUGUAAAAUGGCGCCGCGUUUGUACGUGGAUGCGUUUCUGAUCAUGAGCAAACUUCAAUAGUAGAGACUCACCGUACAGUGCUUCCGUGAGAGGAAUCUCUGAUGGACUCAGAUAAUUUGUGGCAAUGGAUUUUGCAUGGGAGAUGUAUCUCCGGAGACUCCUGUUAGCCCCGGGUGUUUAAGGAGCAAUUACCCACGCGUGCUGCUGGUUCAUAAAGCUGGCGUUACCCUCAUGUAGAUCUGAAUAUCGGCGUCGUGCCGCGUUUACUGAACGUAGAUAAGCAGCUAAUGCUCACAGGGCACGUGCAGGUCGGUUCCGUGUGCCACGCAGCGUAACAGGCCGGAGCUGGAAGGAGAAUUCGGACCUGACACUCUCCUGACCUCCCUUCGGCAUUGCCAGGGUCUCCGCCGCGUUAGCAGAGCGCAACCCUUUGAGCGGCAGCACGAUACUCCUGCAGCGGCCUGGGCUAACUGAGUCUGUUAGAGGUGCGGAGGCGCACAGCGGUUCCCGGAGCUCCGUGCCGUGCCGGCAGGUGGCAGGGCAGCUCGGCGUUCCGCAAUGCCGCUCCGCCCGGCGCUGGGUGGAGGCGCCGUGGUGCGUGUGCGUGCGCGUGGGGAAUGCCCUCGGCGGGGUUACUGCCGCGGGUGGGGUUCCAAAUGAGAGGGAAGUGGAAGCGGGCUGCGCGUCUGUGUGCUGUGAGGGAAGGGAGGAAUUAAAGCACCCUGAAGCCCUGCUUCCAAUAUGAGGCCUUGGAGAACUAAUUUUCAUCGCAGCUCUGUGCAUGAAGACUGACUGUACAGAGCGAGACCCACAGGUCAGUGUAGCGAAUGUGCUGUUUGCUGUGUUGGAUGCUCAGCUGGUUCCGUUAAGGUGACGUGUAGGGUCAUCUUCCUUUCCUUUCCCACCAAAACAACCCCUUUUCCUUUGGUCACCAAUGACUAUAUGGGGAGUUGGGGAGAUACAAAUAGCUGAGCAGACAAGUAGCAUAGUAACAAAUCAAAUUAAAUCUCUAAUAAAUAUUUGUAAGAGCUACAUAUAGCUGAAGCAUA
rnacentral:lncRNA from 1 species